rnacentral:rRNA from 1 species
UACGGAGGGGGCGAGUGUUGUUCGGAAUUACUGGGCGUAAAGGGCGCGCAGGCGGCCUGGCAAGUCGAGUGUGAAAUCCCUUGGCUUAACUGAGGAAUGGCGCUCGAAACUACCUCGCUGGAGGGCGGGGAGAGGGAAGUGGAACUCUCGGUGUAGGGGUGAAAUCUGUAGAUAUCGAGAGGAACACCGGUGGCGAAGGCGGCUCCUGGCCCGUACC